rnacentral:rRNA from 1 species
AUUGAACGCUGGCGGCAGGCCUAACACAUGCAAGUCGAACGAGUGGCGGACGGGUGAGUAAUGUCUGGGAAACUGCCUGAUGGAGGGGGAUAACUACUGGAAACGGUAGCUAAUACCGCAUACCCUCAGAUGUGCCCAGAUGGGAUUAGCUAGUUGGUGGGGUAACGGAUCACCAAGGCGACGAUCCCUAGCUGGUCUGAGAGGAUGACCAGCCACACGGGAACGGGGACAGGGUCCAGACUCCUACGGUAGGCAGAAGAGGGGAAUAUUGCACAAUGGGCGCAAGCCUGAUGAAGCCAUGCCGCGUGUAUGAAGAAGGCCUUCGGGUUGUAAAGUACUUUCAGCGGGGAGGCGUUACCCGCAGAGGAAGCACCGGCUAACUCCGUGCCAGCCGCCGCGGUAAUAC